rnacentral:rRNA from 1 species
GGUUCGAUCAUGGCUCAGAUUCGAACGCUGGUGGAUGUGUUUACACAUGCAAGUCGAACGGCAGCACGGACUUCGGUCUGGUGGCGAGUGGCGAACGGGUGAGUGAAUAAUGUAUCGGAACGUGCCUAGUAGGGGGAUAACUACGCGAAAGUGAAGCAAUACCGCAUACGCCCUUCGGGGAAAGCGGGGGACCUUUCGGGCCUCGCACUAGGAGCGGCCGAUAUCGGAUUAGCUAGUUGGUGGGGGUAACGGCUCACUCAAGGCGACGAUCCGUAGCUGGUUUGAGAGUACGACCAGCCACACUGGGACUGAGACACGGCCCAGACUCCUACGGGAGGCAGUGGGGAAUUUUGGACAAUGGGGGAAACCCUGAUCCAGCCAUCCGCGUGUGCGAUGAAGGCCUUCGGGUUGUAAAGCACUUUGGCAGGAAAGAAACGGCACGGGAUAAUACCCCGUGCAACUGACGGUACCUGCAGAAUAAGCACCGGCUAACUACGUGCCAGCAGCUGCGGUAAUACGUAGGGUGCAAGCGUUAACGGAAUUACUGGGCGGAAGCGUGCAGGGCGGUUCUGGAAAGAAAGAUGUGAAAUCCCAGAGCUAAUCUCUUUUGAACUGUGAGCUUUUAACUACCGAGCUAGAGGUCAGAGGGAGGGAGGUGGAAUUCCGCGUGCAGCAGUGAAUGCAGAUAUGCGAGGAACACCGAUGGCGAAGGCAGCCUCCUGAUAACACUGACGCUCAUGCACGAAAGCGUGGGGAGCAAACAGGAUUAGGGAUACCUGGUAGUCCACGCCCUAAACGAUGUCAACUAGCUGUUGGGGCCUUCUGGCCUUGGUAGCGCAGCUAACGCGUGAAGUUGACCGCCUGGGGAGUACGGUCGCAAGAUUAAAACUCAAAGGAAUUGACGGGGACCGCACAAGCGUGGAUGAUGUGGAUUAAUUCGAUGCAACGCGAAAAACCUACCUACCCUUGACAUGUCUGGAAUCCCGAAGAGAUUUGGCGUCGCAAAGAGAACCGGAACACAGGUGUCGUAUGGCUGUCGUCAGCUCGUGUCAGGAGAUGUUGGGUUGUCCCCGCAACGAGCGUAACCCUUGUCAUUAUUACAUGAAAGGGCACUCUAAUGAGACUGUUGCGACAAACCGGAGGAAGGUGGGGAUGACGUCAGUCCUCAUGGCCCUUAUGGGUAGGGCUUCACACGUCAUACAAUGGUCGGGACAGAGGGUCGCCAACCUCGCGAGGGGGAGCCAAUCCCAGAAACCCCAGAUCGUAGUCCGGAUCGCAGUCUGCAACUCGACUGCGUGAAGUCGGAAACUAGUAAUCGCGGAUCAGCAUGUCGCGUGAAUACGUUCCCGGGUCUUGUACACACCGCCCGUCACACCAUGGGAGGGGUUUACCAGGCGCGCAGUUAGCCUAACCGUAAGGAGGGGCGAUUACCACGGUAGGAUUCAUGAUCAUGAAGUCGUAACAAGGUAA